rnacentral:rRNA from 1 species
CCUACGGGAGGCAGCAGUGGGGAAUAUUGCACAAUGGUGGAAACCCUGAUGCAGCGACGCCGCGUGAGCGAUGAAGUAUUUCGGUAUGUAAAGCUCUAUCAGCAGGGAAGAAGAUGACGGUACCUUACUAAGAAGCCCCGGCUAACUACGUGCCAGCAGCCGCGGUAAUACGUAGGGGGCAAGCGUUAUCAGGAUUUACUGUGUGUAAGGGGAGCUUCGACGAGGAUUCAUGCCAGAUUGGAAAGCCCGGGGCUCAACCCCGGGACUGCAUUUGGAACUGUGUGGCUGGAGUGUCGGAGAGGCAGGCGGAAGUCCUAGUGUAGCGGUGACAUGCGUAGAUAUUAGGAGGAACACCAGUGGCGAAGGCGGCCUGCGGGACGAUGACUGACGUUGAGGCUCGAAAGCGUGGGGAGCAAACAGGAUUAGAUACCCCAGUAGGC